rnacentral:rRNA from 1 species
UACAGAGGAGCCAAGCGUUGUCCGGAAUUAUUGGGCGUAAAGAGCUCGUAGGCGGUUCGUCACGUCGGCUGUGAAAUCCCGAGGCUCAACCUCGGGUCUGCAGUCGAUACGGGCGGACUGGAGUACUGCAGGGGAGACUGGAAUUCCUGGUGUAGCGGUGAAAUGCGCAGAUAUCAGGAGGAACACCGGUGGCGAAGGCGGGUCUCUGGGCAGUAACUGACGCUGAGGAGCGAAAGCGUGGGGAGCGAACAGG